rnacentral:rRNA from 1 species
GACGAACGCUGGCGGCGUGCUUAACACAUGCAAGUCGAACGGUAAGGCUCCAGCUUGCUGGGGUACACGAGUGGCGAACGGGUGAGUAACACGUGGGUGACCUGCCCUGCACUUCGGGAUAAGCCUGGGAAACUGGGUCUAAUACCGGAUAGGACCAUGGUGUGGAUACUGUGGUGGAAAGUUUUUUCGGUGUGGGAUGGGCCCGCGGCCUAUCAGCUUGUUGGUGGGGUAAUGGCCUACCAAGGCGGCGACGGGUAGCCGGCCUGAGAGGGUGGACGGCCACAUUGGGACUGAGACACGGCCCAGACUCCUACGGGAGGCAGCAGUGGGGAAUAUUGCACAAUGGGCGGAAGCCUGAUGCAGCGACGCCGCGUGGGGGAUGACGGCCUUCGGGUUGUAAACUCCUUUCACCAUCGACGAAGGGUUUCUGACGGAAGAUGGAGAAGAAGCACCGGCUAACUACGUG